AACGAACGCUGGCGGCAGGCUUAACACAUGCAAGUCGAACGAUAUAGUGGCAGACGGGUGAGUAACGCGUGGGAACGUGCCUUUCACUACGGAAUAGCUUUUGGAAACGAAAGGUAAUACCGUAUACGCCUCCGGGGGAAAGAGUUUAUCGGUGAAAGAUCGGUCCGCGUUAGAUUAGCUAGUUGGUGAGGUAACGGCUCACCAAGGCUACGAUCUAUAGCUGGUCUGAGAGGAUGAUCAGCCACACUGGGACUGAGACACGGCCCAGACUCCUACGGGAGGCAGCAGUGGGGAAUAUUGCACAAUGGGCGCAAGCCUGAUGCAGCCAUGCCGCGUGAAUGAUGAAGGCCUUAGGGUUGUAAAAUUCUUUCGCCAGGGAUGAUAAUGACAGUACCUGGUAAAGAAGCCCCGGCUAACUUCGUG
rnacentral:rRNA from 1 species